rnacentral:rRNA from 1 species
UACGAAGGGGGAGCUAGCGUUGUUCGGAAUUACUGGGCGUAAAGCGCGCGCAGGCGGUCUUCCAAGUCAGUGGUGAAAGCCCGGAGCUCAACUCCGGAAUUGCCAUUGAAACUGUUAGACUUGAGGAUGAGAGAGGUGAGUGGAAUUCCCAGUGUAGAGGUGAAAUUCGUAGAUAUUGGGAAGAACACCGGUGGCGAAGGCGGCUCACUGGCUCAUUACUGACGCUCAGGCGCGAUAGCGUGGGGAUCAAACAGG